rnacentral:rRNA from 1 species
GAUGAACGCUAGCGGCAGGCUUAAUACAUGCAAGUCGAGGGGCAGCAGGACUGUAGCAAUACAGUUGCUGGCGACCGGCACACGGGUGCGGAACACGUACGCAACCUACCCAAAACUGGGGGAUAGCCCGGGGAAACCCGGAUUAAUACCUCGUAACCUUUUUAAGUGGCAUCACUUGAUAAGUAUAGCUCCGGCGGUUUUGGAUGGGCGUGCGCCUGAUUAGGUAGUUGGUGCGGGUAACGGCCCACCAAGCCUGCGAUCAGUAACUGGUGUGAGAGCACGACCAGUCACACGGGCACUGGGACACGGGCCCGACUCCUACGGGAGGCAGCAGUAAGGAAUAUUGGUCAAUGGACGCAAGUCUGAACCAGCCAUGCCGCGUGAAGGAUGAAGGUCCUCUGGAUUGUAAACUUCUUUUAUGGGGGACGAAACCCGGAUAUUCUUAUCCGAUUGACGGUACCUCAGGAAUAAGCACCGGCUAACUCCGUG